GCUCAGAUCAUGUUUCUGGAGGCCCAAUGGGUAGCCAGGCUCAGAUCCUGUUUUAGGAGGCCCAACGGGUAGCCAGGCUCAGAUCCUGUUUUAGGAGGCCCAACGGGUAGCCGGGCUCAGAUCCUGUUUCUGGAGGCCCAACUGGUCGCCAGGCUCAGAUAUUUCACAGCUCUCUGUCUGUGAUUAACAUCAUGUUGACGCAAGUGCUGUGUAAAUAAAAACAUAAAACAUAUGUAUAAGACCUUUAGCGUUUCUCAUGUAGUUGUCCUAGGGAGUAUUGUCGGGAAAGAAUGAUGACCCAUUUCAGAAGCAGAUGUUUGAGGUCACCAUCAGACUCAGUCAACUCCUUUUCCCCCAUUGGUAGAGCUCCUGCAAUUGGAUGGUUGACCGAUAAAACGCUUGACUGUUUUUUCUUAAAAAUCCACAUACAGUGUACAUGGCCAUGUUUCCUGACUGUUGAAAGCCUACAGCACUGUCAGUCACAGGGGAUAAAACAGCUGCAUAGAUUAAAACAGAAUCCAAAUCUAACAAUGACUCAAUAAACCGCUCUUAGAGCCCCUCGAUCCAUUUUAGAUUCUGAGAAACGGUCCUUGAUCACUCUCAUCAGUGAGUGGUAUUACACCGCUGAGGCAGUCACACACAGCUUGUCUGGUUUCUCUCGUCAUUUCCUGAUUCAUCCAACCACUCCAUCCCUCCACCCCCAUCUUCAGCUGUUUAAACAGCAGAAAUUAUGUCUGUAAUUGUUUCAGUGUGUAGCCUGUUAUUUUAAUGUGCCAAGCUGGAUGACAAAAAAAUGAAUCAAUCAAUGAUUGCAGUAAACGGCAAGUAUUUUCUGACUACUUACAUUCUUAAAGUUUUACCACCUUUAGACUUACUUUUUGGAAUAGUUUGACUAAUUAUCAGGUGUUUCCAAUUUCUCCCCAGUGAUAUGAAAUGGAUAUCACCACAGUGAAGGAGACUGAGAGACAGGGCAUGGGUUGUCUUUUCACUGCGAGUGACCUGCAACUUUCUCGACAGAUUUGACAGAAAGCCUAGGCCUGGAUAAAUAUGUCUCCUCUAUGCUUGUGGGCCUUCUCUCUCUGUUUCUUAAUGCUCUACUACUUAUUCAAAUCAAAUCAAAUCAAAUUGUAUUUGUCACAUGCACCGAAUACAACAGGUGUAGACCUUACCGUGAAAUGCUUACUUCUUAACAUCAUUGUGAAAAGACCCCAUGCUGAGAUGCAUUUAUUUAUAGUGUGGAUGGCUGAGGUAACAGGUACCAGUAUUAGGACAGGGGACAAGGAGAACACAGUUAUGGUGUCCAUAUUAGGACAGUCACAGCAGGACUUGUCAGUCUUAUUGGCUGUAACCUCACACAAGGGUAAUUUAAAAACCAAAUGACAUGAUGAGGGGUUUUUGUUUGUCUUGUUAGUGAUUUUGGGCGACGACUUCACUUAUAUUUCUUGAAAAAAAAUGUUCUUCUUUUAACCGUUCAACUGUUGAAUAGUGAAAAAAUACCAAUCAUGGAAUUGUAGUUUUGAAUGUUCGUUACAAAACAUUUUACGGACAGUAAUGUUUUUUGGCUGAUUUAUAGUGUUCCUUUCCUCCAUCUGACAGAGCAUAGUUAGGCUACUGGGUGAUUCCUCACCAUAUGACAGAGCAUCAUUAGGUUACUGGGUGAUUCCUCACCAUAUGACAGAGCAUCGUUAGGUUACUGGGUGAUUCCUCAUCAUUUGACAGAGCAUCAUUAGGUUACUGGGUGAUUCCUCAUCAUUUGACAGAGCAUCAUUAGGCUACUGGGUGAUUCCUCACCAUCUGACAGAGCAUCAUUAGGGUUGUUCCUUACAAAACUAGAGCAAAACAGGACCAGGAUUUUGGGAUUUUAAUUAAAUUAAAUCUAUAGAAGGGUCCUUUGGAGGAACUAUUGUUGACGUAUAUUUGACAUUUGUAUGUUAAAGCAUAAUUGAGACAUCAAUAAUUUCCUUUGGAAUAUUUGUGACCUUUUCCUUUAAUACUCCAUAAUGUUUCAUCUGUAGGUUCUAUAAAGUAAAAGUUGGUGUCAUGUGAAGCUUUACAGUGUGUACUGUAAAAUGCGUAGUAUUUUGAUUUCAAUAACAAUUUUCUUACUAAGGAUCUGACCCUUUUUUUCAAAUUUUGCCUGAAAUGACAUACACAAAUCUACUGCCUGUAGUUCAAGACCUGAAGCAAGGAUAUGCAUAUUCUUGAUACCAUUUAAAAGCAAACACUUUGAAGUUUCUGGAAAUGUGAAAUUAAUGUAGGACAAUACAACACAUUAGAUCUUGAUAAAGAUAAUAUUGUUCCAGCCCAGGUGCAAUUUAGAUUUUGACCGCUAUAUGGCAGCAGUGUAUGUGUAAAAUGUUAGACUGAUCCAAUGAACCAUUGCACAUCUGUUCAAAAUGUUGUAUCAAGACUGCCCACAUUUGCCUAAUUGGUUUAUUAAUACAUACAGCCUGACGGGAUACUCUCAAUUGUGAAUCUGUAAAAGUUUGUGAGGAUUUUAAGGGCCAAGACAAAUUUCUUCAGCCUCCUGAGGUUGAAGAGGCACUGUUGCGCCUUCUUCACCACAGUGUCUGAAUGGGUGGACCAUUUCAGAUCGUCAGUGAUGUGUACGCCGAGGAACUUGAAGCUUUACACCUUCUCCACUGCGGUCCCGUCGAUGUGGAUAGGGGCAUGCUCCUUCUGCUGUUUCCUGAAGUCCACGAUCAGCUCCUUUGUUUUGUUGACGUUGAGUGAGAGGUUAUUUUCCUGGCACCACUCUCCCAGGGCCCUCACAUCCUCCCUGUAGGCUACCUCGUCAUUGUUGUAAUCAGGGCUACUACUGUUGUGUCGUCUGCAAACUUGAUGAUUGAGUUGGAGGCGUGCGUGGCCACGCAGUCAUGGUUGAACAGGGAGUACAGGACGGGGCUGAGCAUGCACCCUUGUGGGGCCCCUGUGUUGAGGAUCAGCGAAGUGGAGGUGUUGUUUCAUACCUUCACCACCUGGGGGUGGCCCAUCAUGUAGUACAGGACCCAGUUGCACAGGGCGGUGUUCAGACCCUGGGCCCCGAGCUUAAUGAUGAGCCUGAAGGGUACUAUGGUGUUGAAUUCUGAGCUAUAGUCAAUGAAUAGCAUUUUUACAUAGGUAUCCCUCUUGUCCAGAUGGGAUAGGGCAGUGUGUAGUGCGAUGGCGACUGCAUCGUCUGUGGAUCUAUUGGAUAACACACAAAAAGCAAAACACAGCUUCGGAGCUAGAAGCAGAGCUGCCAUAUCUGUCCGCACCAUCUUACUACGUCACAUCUGUGCCGAUAUGUACACCAUGUCAUUGAUCUCUUUCUCACUCUGCUGUGGGUGCAUCAUAUGUGUCUUGUUAGCUCUCACUCAUAUGGCGAGGGGCUGAAGCUCAUUGGUUUUACUUGAAUUGCUAGGGGGCUGGCCCAUGUGGGGGAAAAUGUAGGGAAAAUGCGCCAGCACAGCUUCCAGAAAAACAGUGGCUUUCAAACUAGGGAUUUCGUGGCUGUUUGAGGAAAGACAUUAAUUCUGUUCAUAAAUUAUGCAGCCCAAAGCGGGAUGUUAAAAAAAGACUUAAUAGUUGCCAAAGUUAAUUUACGAAUAUUGAAAAUUGAAUGCAAUGUAACCAAUCGCAGCCCUGCUUUUAGUUCUAGCAUUGCACAUCCUGAAAAUCACCAGGGCGACCAUUUUGAAUCCAUUUUCACAUUCACUCUGUUAGUAAUGCUUAUACAUUGGAUCGUAACUCUACAAGUAGCAGAGAUCCCACUCUGAAACUUUGAUAUACCCGUAGAGUAUAUUAUGUUCAAAAUAUAUUGAAAUAUUUGCCUUUUAUAUACAUAUAUAUUCAACACUCAUGUUUAUGUUUUUCAAUAUUUAUAUAUUUAUGUAAGAAAUGUGUUAUUGAAAUCAAAAUACUACUCAUAUUACAGAGCAAGAGGU
rnacentral:lncRNA from 1 species